AUGGUUGACCUCGGAUCAGGUAGGGAUACCCGCUGAACUUAAGCAUAUCAAUAAGCGGAGGAAAAGAAACCAACAGGGAUUACCUCAGUAACGGCGAGUGAAGCGGUAAAAGCUCAAAUUUGAAAUCUGGCUCUUUUAGAGUCCGAGUUGUAAUUUGUAGAAGAUGCUUCGGGUGUGGUUCCGGUCUAAGUUCCUUGGAACAGGACGUCAUAGAGGGUGAGAAUCCCGUAUGUGACUGGAUACCUAUGCUCAUGUGAAGCUCUUUCGACGAGUCGAGUUGUUUGGGAAUGCAGCUCAAAAUGGGUGGUAUAUUUCAUCUAAAGCUAAAUAUUGGCCAGAGACCGAUAGCGCACAAGUAGAGUGAUCGAAAGAUGAAAAGCACUUUGGAAAGAGAGUUAAACAGUACGUGAAAUUGUUGAAAGGGAAGCGCUUGCAAUCAGACUUGCACUUGGUGUUCAUCGGGGUUUCUACCCCGUGUACUUCAUCAAGUUCAGGCCAGCAUCAGUUUGGGUGGUUAGAUAAAGGCUUAGAGAAUGUGGCCCUCUUCGGGGGGUGUUAUAGCUCUAGGUGCAAUGUAGCCUACCUGGACUGAGGACCGCGCUUCGGCUAGGAUGCUGGCGUAAUGGAUGUAAGCGAC
rnacentral:rRNA from 1 species